GGACGACGCUGGCGGCGUGCUUAACACAUGCAAGUGGAGCGACGAACCGGGGCUUGCCCCGGGGCAGAGCCGCGAACGGGUGAGUAACACGUGGGUAACCUGCCUCAAUGAUUGGGACAACCCGGGGAAACUCGGGCUAAUACCAAAUGUGUUCACUCCUUCUAAGGGGAGUGAGGAAAGGAAGCUUCGGCCUCCGCAUUGAGAUGGGCCCGCGGCCCAUUAGCUUGUUGGUGAGGUAACGGCUCACCAAGGCUUCGAUGGGUAGCUGGUCUGAGAGGACGAUCAGCCACACUGGGACUGAGACACGGCCCAGACUCCUACGGGAGGCAGCAGUGGGGAAUCUUGCACAAUGCGCGAAAGCGUGAUGCAGCAACGCCGCGUGGGGGAAGACGGCCUUCGGGUUGUAAACCCCUUUCAGUUGGGACGAAGCUUCGUCGGUGAAUAGCCGGUUGGAGUGACGGUACCUUCAGAAGAAGCCCCGGCUAACUACGUG
rnacentral:rRNA from 1 species